rnacentral:rRNA from 1 species
UACGUAGGGCGCAAGCGUUGUCCGGAAUUAUUGGGCGUAAAGAGCUCGUAGGCGGCCUGUUACGUCUGCUGUGAAAUCCCGGGGCUUAACCCCGGGCGUGCAGUGGAUACGGGCAGGCUGGAGGCAGGCAGGGGAGAAUGGAAUUCCCGGUGUAGCGGUGAAAUGCGCAGAUAUCGGGAGGAACACCGGUGGCGAAGGCGGUUCUCUGGGCCUGUUCUGACGCUGAGGAGCGAAAGCGUGGGGAGCGAACAGG